rnacentral:rRNA from 1 species
AUGGCUUCUUCCUCCUCCGUCUUCUCCCCGCUCCUGCGGCCUACACUCCGGCUGCCGGUCGCGUCGGUAACCACGCGCUCCUCUGUUCCCCACGCUGUGUCGGUGGACAACGCGGCCGCUGCCACGCAGCCGGCGCCGCUCGCGGUUGUCAGUCACAGGAGGGAGCUGGUGGUGGGAACAGCACUCGGCGCGCUGUUCUCGGCGACAACGUUGCCCGUAGGGGCGCGCGAGGUCGAGGCCGGCAAGUACCUGCCGCCGGCGCCGUCCAGCCCGGGCUUCGUGUUCUUCAAGGCCACCACCAAGGACACCCCUGCCCUCCGGGCUGGCAAUGUAGAACCUUACGAGUUCAUCCUACCGCCCACCUGGAAGCAGCUGCGAGUGGCCAACAUACUGUCCGGCAACUACUGCCAGCCCAAGUGCGCGGAGCCAUGGGUGGAGGUGAAAUUCGAGGACGAGAGGCAGGGCAAAGUGCAGGUGGUGGCCUCGCCGCUCAUCCGCCUGACCAACCGGCCGAACGCCACCAUCGAGGACAUCGGCAGCCCCGAGAAGCUGAUCGCCUCCCUGGGGCCCUUCGUCACCGGCAACACCUUGGAACCCGAGGAGAUCAUCGAGACCUCUGUCGAGAAGAUCGGCGACCUAACUUACUACAGCUAUGUGCUGGAGACUCCACUGGCACUGACGGGUUCCCACAAUCUGGCCAAGGCCACGGCCAAGGGGAGCACGGUGGUGCUCUUCGUCGCGAGCGCCAGCGACAAGCAGUGGCAGUCGUCGCAAAAGAUCCUGAAGGCUAUGGUAGAUUCAUUCCAAAUAUGA